ensembl:lncRNA
UCCGGAAGCGCCGGCAUUGAGACCGGAAGUGCCUUUUGGGCGGCCGGAAGUGCCCAUUUUGCCUCCAGUACCGUCGUUGUUAGGACCGGAAGUGCCAUUUUCGUGGCCGGAAGUGCCCGUUUUGGGUCCCGAAGCUACAUUUUCAGGACCGGAAGUGCCGAUUUUGGGUCCAAAAGCGCCGAUUUUGGGCCAUGUUCUACCACCCCGAGAUCCUGCAGCGCCGCAGCGGCUGCUUCGGGACCAUCUGGCUGGCUGCCACCUGCGUGUCCCGGCUGCAGCGCCGCGAGGUCAUGGCCGUCGACGUGCCCCGCACAUGGUGCUUGGGGGGCUCUAUGGGGCUCUAUGGGGCAGUGCUGGGUCUCUAUGGGUCUCGUCUCUAUGGGUUUCUAUGGGUCUCUAUGGGUCUCUAUGGGUCUCUAUAGAAGUCUAUGGGGCAGCGUUGUGUCUGUAUAGGUUUCUGUGGGUCUCUGUGGGUUUCUGUGGGGCAGAGCUGUGUCUCUAUGGGUCUCUAUGGGGCAGUGCUGUGUCUCUGUGGGUCUCUAUGGGUCUCUAUGAGGCAGAGCUGUGUCUCUAUGGGUCUCUAUGGGGCAGUGCUGUCUCUCUAUGGGUCUCUAUGGGGCAGUGCUGUCUCUCUAUGGAUCUCUAUGGGUCUCUAUGGGGCAGUGCUGUGUCUCUAUGGGUCUCUAUGGGUCUCUAUGGGGCAGAGCUGUGUCUCUGUGGGUUUCUAUAGGGCAGUGCUGUGUUUCUAUGGGUUUCUAUGGGUUUCUGUGGGUCUCUAUGGUUCUUUAUGGGGCAGUGCUGUCUCUAUGGGUCCCUAUGGGUCUCUGUGGGUCUCUAUGGGGCAGUGCUGGGUCUCUAUGGGUCUCUAUGGGGCNUAUGGGGCAGUGCUGUCUCUAUGGGUCCCUAUGGGUCUCUGUGGGUCUCUAUGGGGCAGUGCUGGGUCUCUAUGGGUCUCUAUGGGGCAGUGCUGUCUCUAUGGGUCUCUAUGGGGCAGUGCUGUGUCCCUAUGGGUUUCUAUGGGUCUCUAUGGGUUUCUGUGGGGCAGUGCUGUGUUUCUAUGGGUCUCUAUGGGGCAGUGCUGGGUCUCUAUGGGGCAGCGUUGUCUCUAUGGGUCUCUAUGGGUCUCUGUGGGGCAGUGCUGUCUUUCUAUGGGUCUCUAUGGGUCUCUAUGGGGCAGUGCUGUCUGUCUAUGGGUCUCUGUGGGUCUCUAUGGGGCAGUGCUGGGUCUCUAUGGGUCUCUAUGGGGCAGAGCUGUGUUUCUAUGGGUCUCUAUGGGGCAGAGCUGUGUCUCUAUGGGUCUCUAUGGGGCAGUGCUGUGUCUCUAUGGGUCUCUAUGGGGCAGUGUUGUCUCUCUAUGGGUCUCUAUGGGUCUCUAUGGGGCAGUGCUGUCUCUCUAUGGGUCUCUAUGGGGCAGUGCUGUCUCUCUAUGGGUCCCUAUGGGUCUCUAUGGGGCAGUGCUGUCUCUCUAUGGGUCUCUAUGGGUCUCUAUGGGGCAGUGCUGUCUCUAUGGGUCUCUAUGGGGCAGUGCUGUGUCUCUAUGGGUCUCUGUGGGUCUCUAUGGGGCAGUGCUGUCUCUCUAUGGGUCUCUAUGGGGCGGUGCUGUCUCUGUGGGUCUCUAUGGGUCUCUAUGGGUCUCUAUGGGGCAGUGCUGUCUCUAUGGGUCUCUAUGGGUCUCUAUGGGGCAGUGCUGUCUCUCUGUGGGUCUCUAUGGGUCUCUAAGGGGCAGUGCUGUCUCUCUAUGGGUCUCUAUGGGGC